rnacentral:lncRNA from 1 species
GUGGGUUUAAGAAGAAACCUAGACUAAAUCAAAUUAUAUCUAUCAAGCGAUCAAAGCUCCCCAGCAACGGCGCCAAAUUUGAUCUCAUUCAAAUUACCCUAAGGAGUGAAUUACUCUCUCAAAUAAGAGGUCCAGUUGUAGUAAUUAGGGAUCGAAUUCUCACGGAGCUAGGGAACCUAAUAAAUCUAAUUAAAUUGAUUAAGCUAGGUUGAUUAUGAUUAAAUAUAAAGACAGGUUUGUGAGCAAGGCAUUUUCUCGAUUGAUUGAUUGGGGGUUUUGGUACUUAGAUGAAAGUAGCUAGACUUAGGGUUUUUAUUCAGGUUAUCAGAAUUAUAAUCCU